GAAGAUAACAAUCAAUCAAAUAGGGUAAUGUAUAAACGUUAUCAUCCUAAUGGAAAUGUUAAUAAGUGGGUAAAUCCACAAAAAGAUUGUUCUAUUGUUAGUGAUGGUACAUGUAUUUAUAAUAAUAGUACUCGUGGUUAUAUUUAUGAUAAACAGAAUUAUUCUAAUACUUUAAAAAAUAUGCAUUUACUUUUUACAUUUUUAAAAACAUAUGCAUAUGAAAAUGGGUUAAAUAUAGAUGACUUCGUUACUAAAGAAAAUAUACAAUUAUACGAAAUUUUUUUAUCAAAAAUAGAUAAACAGUUAGAUUAUAAAAGUUUAGAACUCUUAUUUAUGACGUUCUUAUCAAAAAAUAAGGAUAAAAAAAAGUAUUGUGCUGUGGAUGAGAUGAUGUUAGAUGAAGGAAUGCUACCCCAAAACGAAUCAGCUAAAAAAGAACUAACCCCAAAAGAAUCAGCUAAAAAUGAAAUAAUAUCAAACGAAUCGGCUAAAAACGAAUCAGCUAAAAACGAAUCAGCUAAAAAUGAAUCGAAUACACAGUUAGAAAUAAUUGUAAAACAAAAAGAAGAAAUAGAAGCAGAGAUAAAAAGAGGAAUAAUACAAACAAAGGUAAUAGAAGAAGAUGCAGCAUAUGAAGAUACAUCUGUGAUAAAAGUAACGAAGGGAAAUAAAAUAAUAAAAGAUAUGAAAGAAAAUAUAGUAGGGGAAGGAGAAAGUGUAAAGAGUGGAAUACAAGUUUUCGUAGGGGAUAAAGAAAGAUAUAACUCUAUUUUAUAUACAAAAGAAAAUAAAGAUGAUAUAAUAGUAUAUCCAGAAAACGACAAAUUAUGUAACAAUUAUAUAAAUUCAAGUUUAUAUAAAUACAUGAAUAAUAGUAAUAUUAUCAUGUGUAAUAAUAAUGAUCAUGACUGUAGUAAUAGUAGUAACAAUAUUAUUGAUACUACUAGUAGUAACAUUAAAAAUCAUAUUAAUAAAUGUGAACAAGUAAAAGAAAAAUCUUUCGAACAACAUAAUGAAAUAAUAG
rnacentral:lncRNA from 1 species